UAAACCCGUAGCAAUCUUAAU
rnacentral:piRNA from 1 species